rfam:Glycine max cultivar Williams 82 chromosome 15, whole genome shotgun sequence.
GACCUAUUAGCUCAGUUGGAUAGAGUGUUGUGCUAAUAAUGCAAAAGUCAUAGGUUCAAGACCUGCAUGAGUUA